UGGUUCUGAUCCAGCCAGCAAGGAUAUAUUUCAUUUCCCAAGUCCAGAUUUUUUCCACAGGGAAUAGAUCUGUGGUGUUGCUAGAGUUCCAUCAGAAGUCACCCCUUGGUAUGCAACAUGUAUUUACUUCCUUUGAGGAAUUUAAAUUCCUUAAAUUUAAGUAAGUAAACUUAAAUUUACUUUCCUUUAAGGAUUUUAAUGCGCUGAAAGAUAGAAUUUAUUCACUCCGUAUUUCAACAAAACACAAACAGAAAUGGUUGCACGGCCCAGGACCUGUGAUGGCAGCCAGACCUAAGUAUAUCGGAGUACUCACCAAGCGCCGGCCACAGUUCAAGGACUUUCACACUCAGGCCUUUACGCCUCAUAAUGGCACUUUGUGCCACUGCUGUCUUCAUGUUGUGCCUCAGGAAACCAGGGCAGUGUCACCCAGAGCCAAUCCAGAUGGGCAAGUUCAGAGCCUGUGGCCCAACCUAGCCAGUCAGGCGCUAGCCCUGAAGCUCCUCGGGCUUCCCGCCCCACCCUGACCCUGAUGAAGCAGUGACGACACUUAGCAGCUGGUGAUGGUUUGCUGGGAGAGCCUCCAAAACUCAAGUGGGGGCCUGCCUGAUGCCGUCACUCCGGUCCUGGCCCGGCGCUGUACGAAUUAGUCCGUGCCUUAGUAAAACCCCAAACGCUGAAGGACGUCUGUCUUUGCCUGUUCAUGAUCCACGCUUCAGGACCCUUCAGAAGGGGCCCAGGUCUCACCAUGGGUUUUGGGUACGGCCGACGUAGAGGGGAGGCUGACCGCAGGAGAUAACGACCGCCAGCACCUGAGUGCUCCUGUGGACCCGAGGUCAAGCACAUCAGAAGCAUUCUUUCAUUUAACCCUCACGGCCACCUUGUGAGGGUAGCACUAUUAUUCUCCUCACUUCAUGGAUGAGGACACUGAGGCUGGGAGAAGGGACUCCCCGGAGACUACCAGCGACGGACAGAGCCAGGAUUUUGAACUCAGGCAGUCUGCCUUCAGAACCCAAGCAUAAAGUACUCUCUUAUUAGAAACAGAAUUCUGCUUUCUUCAGCCAGGGUCAGAGCUCCACUCCGAUCAUCUACUUAGUCUCGUUCUUCAAACCUCUCCCAGCUAAGAUGAUAACUCUGUGAGCUGAGGCAGCUACUCCCAGCGGCACCGGCUUUCCUCCACCACUUGCCAGUCUGCUCGGCAUGUCAGUCAGUUGGAUCAAAUUUUCCCCGGAACCAGCUAUCCGUUGUGGCCCUUUUCUUCCAGCUGGUUUACUGAAAUUUUGAGAAGCCUAAAACUCAACUUCUUUGAAAGCCAGGCUCUCAGGGACAUCACCUAUCGUCGUGCUGGCUCGACUGGUCUUCGUCCUGUUCCCCACCUCCUAGGAGCCCAGCUGCACAUUCCCUCCAUGUCGGGACCACGUUUUCCUUCACCUGCAGCUUGCUUCUAAGGCCCACCCUGACCAAGCUAGCUGUGUCUGAGAUUUAUAAUUAAGGCCGGACAUAUAAAGAGAUAAGGUAAAGGGCAAUAAGAAAGAGGAAGGCAUCCUAACUUAGAGGGCUUACUACCCUCUUCGACCUUAUCACUCGACUUCGUUCCCAUUUUCUUAUUCUUGUCUCUUUCCUAUCUUAGAAAGGAGUGCCUUUAAUAAAUGGGAUGUUGUUCUCCCAGUA